rnacentral:rRNA from 1 species
AUUGAACGCUGGCGGCAUGCUUUACACAUGCAAGUCGAACGGUAACAGGGUGCUUGCACCGCUGACGAGUGGCGAACGGGUGAGUAAUGCGUCGGAACGUGCCGAGUAGUGGGGGAUAACGCAUCGAAAGGUGUGCUAAUACCGCAUACGUACUGAGGUAGAAAGUGGGGGACCUUCGGGCCUCACGCUAUUCGAGCGGCCGACGUCUGAUUAGCUAGUUGGUGAGGUAAAGGCUCACCAAGGCGACGAUCAGUAGCGGGUCUGAGAGGAUGAUCCGCCACACGGGGACUGAGACACGGCCCAGACUCCUACGGGAGGCAGCAGUGGGGAAUUUUGGACAAGGGGCGCAAGCCUGAUCCAGCCAUGCCGCGUGUCUGAAGAAGGCCUUCGGGUUGUAAAGGACUUUUGUCCGGGAGCAAAUACCCAGUGCUAAUAACGCUGGGGGCUGAGAGUACCGGAAGAAUAAGCACCGGCUAACUACGUGCCAGCCGCCGCCGUAAUAC